rnacentral:rRNA from 1 species
GACGUAGGGCGCGAGCGUUGUCCGGAUUUAUUGGGCGUAAAGAGCUCGUAGGCGGCCUGUUGCGUCCGCUGUGAAAGCCCGGGGCUUAACCCCGGGUCUGCAGUGGAUACGGGCAGGCUAGAGGUAGGUAGGGGAGAAUGGAAUUCCCGGUGUAGCGGUGAAAUGCGCAGAUAUCGGGAGGAACACCGGUGGCGAAGGCGGCUCUCUGGGCCUUACCUGACGCUGAGGAGCGAAAGCGUGGGGAGCGAACAGG